UACGUAGGGGGCUAGCGUUGUCCGGAUUUAUUGGGCGUAAAGAGCGUGUAGGCGGCCAUGUAGGUCCGGUGUGAAAACUCGAGGCUCAACCUCGAGACGUCGGCGGAAACCAUCUGGCUAGAGUCCGGAAGAGGAGAGUGGAAUUCCUGGUGUAGCGGUGAAAUGCGCAGAUAUCAGGAAGAACACCCGUGGCGAAGGCGGCUCUCUGGGACGGUACUGACGCUGAGACGCGAAAGCGUGGGGAGCGAACAGG
rnacentral:rRNA from 1 species